CUGUCUUAUUAGAUCGUCAGUGAUGUAUGACUGUCACUUCAACCUAACACGACGUGGUGUAAACCCAGCAGCAUUGGGACAAAGCUUGCGGUGGAGAAGUGACAAGGUAACACGUUGGCCACUUCCAAAGCCCAAGACAUGGACUGCUGUGACCAUCUCUAGAGCCACCAGUGGUCCUGCAAGCUCAACCCACCAGGCUGCAUAAUC
rnacentral:lncRNA from 1 species